rnacentral:rRNA from 1 species
AUAAGACGAGAAGACCCUGUGGAACUUUAAAAUAACAACCACCUUCCCACCAGCCUUCCCCCCAAAAGGGCCCACCUAUGUAAAUCAUCUGGUUGACAUUUUUCGGUUGGGGCGACCUUGG